rnacentral:rRNA from 1 species
AUUGAACGCUGGCGGCAUGCCUAACACAUGCAAGUCGAACGGCCGCACGGGUGCUUGCCCCUGGUGGCGUGUGGCGCACGGGUGAGUAAAACAUGGGAAUAAGUUCUGUAGUGGGGGAUAGCCCGGCGAAAGCCGGAUUAAUACCGCAUACGAUCAUCGUAAAACAGCGGGGUCCCCUCGGGCCUCGCGUCUUGCUGUUGCUCGAGGGCUGAUUAGCUAGUUGGUGGGGUAAAGGCCUACCAAGGCGACGAUCAGUAGCUGGUCUGAGAGGACGACCAGCCACACUGGGACUGAGACACGGCCCAGACUCCUACGGGAGGCAGCAGUGGGGAAUUUUGGACAAUGGGCGAAAGCCUGAUCCAGCAAUGCCGCGUGUGUGAAGAAGGCCUUCGGAUUGUAAAGCACUUUUAUCCGGGAAGAAAUCCUUGGCUCUAAUACGGUCGGGUGAUGACGGUACCGGAAGAAUAAGCACCGGCUAACUACGUG